GCAUGGAGGCCUCUCUUGAGGUCAGGCAAGCGGGGGAAGGGGGAGGAGCAAGGUCUGAGUUCAGACCUCCAGGGCACUAUACUUCACGGAGCUGGAAGCCCAGUCAGGUCCCUGAUCAUGAUACCUGCUGGGAUCUCUGCAGGUCUUCUUUAUCUGGGUUACUGCAGGGAUUCUACCUUGAGCUUGCCAUAAACUGCUGUAGGGGUCUGACAGAAAUUUUCAGUGCAGAAGUGAAAAGAAAAAAACACGAAACCAAAACAGCAAAGACUCCAUGGGACAAGGGUAGAGAAGCCAGGAAGCCAGAGGCACUGUUGCAGCCAGCUGCAGGCUGUGAGCCGCCUACAGCACCAAGGUUUUUAUGUUGCUACCUAAGCAAUCUAUGGAGAAUAUUGAAAUCAUGACCUUGACUGAUAUUCAUGACAGGUUCAGCAAUCAAUUUUGGUUGAGGUCCUGAUCAUUCCAGUUAAUUUAGUGAACUACAAGAUAUAAAAUUAUU
rnacentral:lncRNA from 1 species